UACGUAGGGACCAAGCGUUGUCCGGAAUCAUUGGGCGUAAAGAGCGUGUAGGCGGCUUGUUAAGUCUUGCGUGAAAUCUCGGGGCUCAACCCCGAGCGGUCGUGAGAAACUGGCAGGCUAGAGUGCGGGAGAGGAGAGUGGAAUUCCUGGUGUAGCGGUGAAAUUCGUAGAUAUUCGGAGGAACACCAGUGGCGAAGGCGGCUCGCUGGCUCGAUACUGACGCUGAGGUGCGAAAGCGUGGGGAGCAAACAGG
rnacentral:rRNA from 1 species